rnacentral:rRNA from 1 species
UACAGAGGUCUCAAGCGUUGUUCGGAUUCAUUGGGCGUAAAGGGCGCGUAGGCGGCUUGGCAAGUGGAUGGUGAAAUCCCUCGGCUUAACCGAGGAACUGCCGUCCAAACUGCUUUGCUUGAGACCGGGAGAGGUGAGUGGAAUUCCCAGUGUAGCGGUGAAAAUGCGUAGAUAUUGGGAGGAACACCAGUUGCGAAGGCGGCCGACUGGACACAUAUUGACGCUGGGGCUCGAAAGCAUGGGGAGCAAACAGG